rfam:Brachypodium distachyon strain Bd21 chromosome 1, whole genome shotgun sequence.
AUCAUACUUCCUCCGUCCAAUAAAAGAUGUCUCAACUUUUACUAAAUUUGAAUGCAUCUAUACACUAAGUCAUGUUUAGAUACAUCCAAAUCUUGACAAACUUGAGACGUAUUUUGUUGGAUGGAGGGAGUAAGUC